UACGUAGGGUGCAAGCGUUAAUCGGAAUUACUGGGCGUAAAGCGUGCGCAGGCGGUUUUGUAAGUCAGAUGUGAGAUCCCCGGGCUUAACCUGGGAACUGCGUUUGAAACUACAAGGCUAGAGUGUGGCAGAGGGGGGUGGAAUUCCACGUGUAGCAGUGAAAUGCGUAGAGAUGUGAAGGAACACCGAUGGCGAAGGCAGCCCCCUGGGUUAACACUGACGCUCAGGCACGAAAGCGUGGGGAGCAAACAGG
rnacentral:rRNA from 1 species